AGUACCCGCGGUAAUUCCAGCUCCAAUAGCAUAUAUUAAAGUUGUUGCAGUUAAAAAGCUCGUAGUUGAAUUUCGGGAUCAUCAGGUUGGUCGUGCCUCUGGUAUGUACUUUCCUCGAUGGUUCCUCCUUCUUGAAGAACCGUAAUGCCAUUAAUUUGGUGUUGCGGGGAAACAGGACUGUUACUUUGAAAAAAUUAGAGUGUUUAAAGCAGGCAAUCGCUUGAAUACAUUAGCAUGGAAUAAUGAAAUAGGACGUUCGAUCCUAUUUUGUUGGUUUCUAGGAUUGACGUAAUGAUUAAUAGGGAUAGUUGGGGGCAUUAGUAUUCAAUUGUCAGAGGUGAAAUUCUUGGAUUUAU
rnacentral:rRNA from 1 species